rnacentral:rRNA from 1 species
UACGGAGGGUGCAAGCGUUAAUCGGAAUUACUGGGCGUAAAGCGUGCGUAGGCGGUUCGUUAAGUCUGUUGUGAAAGCCCCGGGCUCAACCUGGGAAUGGCAAUGGAUACUGGCGAGCUAGAGUGUGUCAGAGGAUGGUGGAAUUCCCGGUGUAGCGGUGAAAUGCGUAGAUAUCGUAAGGAAGACCAGUGGCGAAGGCGGGUCUCUGGACAGUUCCUGACGUGAGGCACGAAGGCCAGGGGAGCAAACGGG